GGGGAUUUAGCUCAGCGGCAUAAGCGCCUGCCUUGCAAGCAGGCAGUCGUGAGUUCGAUCCUCAGUACCGA
rfam:Cavia porcellus supercont2_58 genomic scaffold, whole genome shotgun sequence.